GAACGCUGGCGGCGUGCUUAACACAUGCAAGUCGAACGGAAAGGCCCUGCUUUUGUGGGGUGCUCGAGUGGCGAACGGGUGAGUAACACGUGAGUAACCUGCCCUUGACUUUGGGAUAACUUCAGGAAACUGGGGCUAAUACCGGAUAGGAGCUCCUGCCGCAUGGUGGGGGUUGGAAAGUUUCGGCGGUUGGGGAUGGACUCGCGGCUUAUCGGCUUGUUGGUGGGGUAGUGGCUUACCAAGGCUUUGACGGGUAGCCGGCCUGAGAGGGUGACCGGCCACAUUGGGACUGAGAUACGGCCCAGACUCCUACGGGAGGCAGCAGUGGGGAAUAUUGCACAAUGGGCGGAAGCCUGAUGCAGCAACGCCGCGUGCGGGAUGACGGCCUUCGGGUUGUAAACCGCUUUCGCCUGUGACGAAGCGUGAGUGACGGUAAUGGGUAAAGAAGCACCGGCUAACUACGUGCCAGCAGCCGCGGUGAUACGUAGGGUGCGAGCGUUGUCCGGAUUUAUUGGGCGUAAAGGGCUCGUAGGUGGUUGAUCGCGUCGGAAGUGUAAUCUUGGGGCUUAACCCUGAGCGUGCUUUCGAUACGGGUUGACUUGAGGAAGGUAGGGGAGAAUGGAAUUCCUGGUGGAGCGGUGGAAUGCGCAGAUAUCAGGAGGAACACCAGUGGCGAAGGCGGUUCUCUGGGCCUUUCCUGACGCUGAGGAGCGAAAGCGUGGGGAGCGAACAGGCUUAGAUACCCUGGUAGUCCACGCUGUAAAACGGUGGGUACUAGGUGUGGGGUCCAUUCCACGGGUUCCGUGCCGUAGCUAACGCUUUAAGUACCCCGCCUGGGGAGUACGGCCGCAAGGCUAAAACUCAAAGGAAUUGACGGGGCCCCGCACAAGCGGCGGAGCAUGCGGAUUAAUUCGAUGCAACGCGUAGAACCUUACCUGGGUUUGACAUGGAUCGGGAGUGCUCAGAGAUGGGUGUGCCUCUUUUGGGGUCGGUUCACAGGUGGUGCAUGGCUGUCGUCAGCUCGUGUCGUGAGAUGUUGGGUUAAGUCCCGCAACGAGCGCAACCCUUGUUCACUGUUGCCUGCACGUUAUGGUGGGGACUCAGUGGAGACCGCCGGGGUCAACUCGGAGGAAGGUGGGGAUGACGUCAAGUCAUCAUGCCCCUUAUGUCCAGGGCUUCACGCAUGCUACAAUGGCUGGUACAGAGAGUGGCGAGCCUGUGAGGGUGAGCGAAUCUCGGAAAGCCGGUCUCAGUUCGGAUUGGGGUCUGCAACUCGACCUCAUGAAGUCGGAGUCGCUAGUAAUCGCAGAUCAGCAACGCUGCGGUGAAUACGUUCCCGGGGCUUGUACACACCGCCCGUCAAGUCAUGAAAGUUGGUAACACCCGAAGCCGGAGGCCUAACCGUUGUGGGGGAGCCGUCGAAGGUGGGACUGGU
rnacentral:rRNA from 1 species